rnacentral:rRNA from 1 species
GGAUUGGGAGGGUUCUACGGAACCCGUUUGGUGAAUCUAGUGCCGAGAAAAGCCUUCUAUGUGUUGAAUUUCUAGUACCCGUACCCUAAACCGACACAGGUGGGUGGGUAGAGCAUACCUAGGGGCGCGUGAUAACUCUCUCUAAGGAACUCGGCAAAAUGGCCCUGUAACUUCGGGAUAAGGGGUGCCUGCGUGAGCAGGCCGCAGUGAAAUGGCUCUGGCGACUGUUUACCAAAAACACAGGUCUCUGCUAAGUCGUAAGACGAUGUAUAGGGGCUGACUCCUGCCCAGUGCCGGAAGGUUAAGGAAGUUGGUUAGCGCAAGCGAAGCUGGCGACCGAAGCCCCGGUGAACGGCGGCCGUAACGAUAACGGUCCUAAGGUAGCGAAAUUCCUUGUCGGGUAAGUUCCGACCCGCACGAAAGGAGUAACGAUCAGAGCGCUGUCUCGGAGAGAGACACGGCGAAAUAGGAUUGUCCGUGAAGAUACGGACUACCUGCACCCGGACAGAAAGACCCUAUGAAGCUUUACUGUAACUUGGAAUUGUGUUCGGACUUUGUCUGCGCAGAAUAGGUGGGAGGCUAUGAAACGUUCCUCGCGGGGAACUGGAGCCAUCGUUGAGAUACCACUCUGGCAGAGUCUGGAUUCUAACCUACGGGGACAGUUCCAGGUGGGCAGUCUGACUGGGGCGGUCGCCUCCUAAAAUGUAACGGAGGCGCGCAAAGGUUCCCUCAGGCUGGUUGGAAAUCAGCCAUAGAGUGUAAAAGCAUAAGGGAGCUUGACUGUAAGACCUACAAGUCGAGCAGGGACGAAAGUCGGCUUUAGUGAUCCGACGGCACUGAGUGGAAGGGCCGUCGCUCAACGGAUAAAAGUUACUCUAAGGAUAACAGGCUGAUCUCCCCCAAGAGUUCACAUCGACGGGGAGGUUUGGCACCUCGAUGUCGGCUCGUCGCAACCUGGGGCGGUAGUACGUCCCAAGGGUUGGGCUGUUCGCCCAUUAAAGCGGCACGUGAGCUGGGUUCAGAACGUCGUGAGACAGUUCGGUCCAUAUCCGGUGUAGGCGUAGGAGCAUUGAAAGGAUCUCUCCUUAGUACGAGAGGACCGGGAGGGACGUACCUCUGGUGUACCUGUUAUCGUGCCAACGGUAAACGCAGGGUAGCCAUGUACGGAGUGGAUAACCGCUGAAAGCAUCUAAGUGGGAAGCCCACCUUAAGAUGAGUGCUCCCUUGAGGCCACGGGAAGACGACCCGUUUGAUAGGCGCUAGGUGGAAGUGCAGUAAUGCAUGCAGCC